GCUGCGGUGUCCGAGUGGUUAAGGAGAUGGACUUGAAAUCCAUUGGGUUCUACCCGCGCAGGUUCGAAUCCUGUCCACAGCG